rnacentral:rRNA from 1 species
UACGGAGGGUGCAAGCGUUAUCCGGAAUUAUUGGGCGUAAAGCGUCCGCAGGUGGCAAUGUAAGUCUGCUGUUAAAGAGUCUAGCUCAACUAGAUAAAAGCAGUGGAAACUACAUAGCUAGAGUACGUUCGGGGCAGAGGGAAUUCCUGGUGUAGCGGUGAAAUGCGUAGAGAUCAGGAAGAACACCGGUGGCGAAGGCGCUCUGCUAGGCCGUAACUGACACUGAGGGACGAUAGCUAGGGGAGCGAAUGGG